GGUUACUGCUAUCGAGGUUCGACUAAGCCAUGCGAGUCGAAUGUAGCAAUACAUGGCGUACUGCUCAGUAACACGUGGACAACCUACCCUUAGGCCUGGGAUAACCCCGGGAAACUGGGAAUAAUACCGGAUAUCUCGCGAAUGCUGGAAUGCGUCGCGAUAGAAAGCUCCGGCGCCUAAGGAUGGGUCUGCGGCCUAUCAGGUAGUAGUGGGUGUAAUGUACCUACUAGCCUACGACGGGUACGGGUUGUGAGAGCAAGAGCCCGGAGAUGGAUUCUGAGACACGAAUCCAGGCCCUACGGGGUGCAGCAGGCGCGAAAACUUUACAAUGCCGGCAACGGCGAUAAGGGGACCUCGAGUGCCAGGAUACAAUCCUGGCUGUCGUAAUGCCUAAAAAGCAUUGCAUACAAGGGCCGGGCAAGACCGGUGCCAGCCGCCGCGGUAACACCGGCGGCUCGAGUGGUAACCGCUAUUAUUGGGUCUAAAGGGUCUGUAGCCGGCUGACUAAGUCUCUUGGGAAAUCUGGCAGCUCAACUGUCAGGCUUUCAGGAGAUACUGAUCGGCUCGAGACCGGGAGAGGUGAGAGGUACCUCAGGGGUAGGGGUGAAAUCUUGUAAUCCUUGAGGGACCACCAGUGGCGAAGGCGUCUCACCAGAACGGAUCUGACGGCAAGGGACGAAAGCUAGGGGCACGAACCGGAUUAGAUACCCGGGUAGUCCUAGCCGUAAACGAUACUCGCUAGGUGUCGGCCACGGUGCGACCGUGGUCGGUGCCGUAGGGAAGCCGUGAAGCGAGCCACCUGGGAAGUACGGCCGCAAGGCUGAAACUUAA
rnacentral:rRNA from 1 species